GACGAACGCUGGCGGCGUGCUUAACACAUGCAAGUCGAACGGUGAAGCGCCUUCCUUUUUGGUGGGUGUGGAUGAGUGGCGAACGGGUGAGUAACACGUGAGUAACCUGCCCCCUUCUUCUGGAUAACCGCAUGAAAGUGUGGCUAAUACGGGAUAUUCUGGGUCUGUCGCAUGAUGGGUCUGGGAAAGAUAUUGUUUCGGUGGGUGAUGGGCUCGCGGCCUAUCAGCUUGUUGGUGGGGUGAUGGUCUACCAAGGCGGUGACGGGUAGCCGGCCUGAGAGGGUGGACGGUCACACUGGGACUGAGACACGGCCCAGACUCCUACGGGAGGCAGCAGUGGGGAAUAUUGCACAAUGGGCGCAAGCCUGAUGCAGCGACGCCGCGUGAGGGAUGGAGGCCUUCGGGUUGUGAACCUCUUUCGCCAGUGAAGCAGGCCUGCCUCGUUUGUGGGUGGGUUGACGGUAGCUGGAUAAGAAGCGCCGGCUAACUACGUG
rnacentral:rRNA from 1 species